rnacentral:rRNA from 1 species
CCUACGGGGGGCUGCAGUGGGGAAUAUUGCACAAUGGGCGGAAGCCUGAUGCAGCAACGCCGCGUGCGGGAUGACGGCCUUCGGGUUGUAAACCGCUUUCGCCUAUGACGAAGCUUUUGUGACGGUAGUAGGAGAAGAAGCACCGGCUAACUACGUGCCAGCAGCCGCGGUGAUACGUAGGGUGCGAGCGUUGUCCGGAUUUAUUGGGCGUAAAGAGCUUGUAGGCGGUUGGUCGCGUCGAUAGUGCAAACUCAGGGCUUAACUCUGAGCCUGCUGUCGAUACGGGCUGACUUGAGGGAUGUAGGGGAGAAUGGAAUUCCCGGUGGAGCGGUGGAAUGCGCAGAUAUCGGGAGGAACACCGGUGGCGAAGGCGGUUCUCUGGACAUUUCCUGACGCUGAGAAGCGAAAGCGUGGGGAGCAAACAGGCUUAGAUACCCCAGUAGUC